AGCUUGUUAAAUAUGGGCUUCUCAGUAUUUUAUAAGAAUAGGUUUAAACCAAUAAAAAAUAAACGAACAAAAUAAUUUAGCUCAUCCUUGAAAUUUCCCAACUUCUUGUCCAUAUUUUCUCCAUGGUUGCAAAGAAACUCACAAGCCCAGCACAAUGCUCCCACCAUAGCUCACAUGGCCGGAUCGCCACCACCACUCUGCGCCGCUGCGAGGCACGGCCGCCGGAGGACAGCACCGCCCCACAGCUCGCACCGCCCACACCUUGGACAACCCUAAAUAGUGGCCUUCACCGACGGCCACGCCGCACCAAGGCACACCACCACACCAGACCCCGCCAGUGCCCGCAGCCCCCGGAGGCGGCCGACCCGCGCCGCCACAGCCCAUGUCGCCCGCGGAGCGGCGGCCGGAGGAGACGCCCCACCCUAGAUCGGAUCUGGCCGGCCCUCACCACCACCCCGAGCACACCUCGCCGCCACAGCACACCACCAGCCGUCCCACACCACAAGCACAACCUACCACGCCACCAAGUAAACCCAGCCACCGACGAGCUGCUCGGAUGCUGCGCCGUCCGGUCUAGCAACACGCCUCCAUGCAGGGAUCCCGGCCCGCGCCGAACUCCACAGCGCCAGGGAGAUAUAAGGCCCUGCCACCGCCGGCACCUGCCUGGCUUAGCCUGGCGGCGCAGAGGGGAUGGAGGGGAGAAGGAGGCGUAGAGGCCGCCACGGGCGGGUGCGUCCACCUCAGUCGCUCGCAUGAGCGACACGAGGGGAAGGGGGUGUUUCUUCUGUCGAAUCUCUCAUAUAUUCAUGUGUACAGUGUAGGUUUUGCUAUUCCUCUGGCAACCGGGAAAUUUUAUGUAUUAGUUGAUUCAUGUGUACGUGUUGCGUCGAGCCCAAGACGGGCACGUCGCGCCGGCAAGGUACCACCUAGAGUACGUGAAGCCGGCGAUGAGCCCACAAUGUGGCUGUGACAUCGCCAGACAAAGGUUAGUAAAAAGCUUCACUAUCCAGGUGCUAUAGGGGGGCUACGCGCGGCAGUGCUUGCUAGGCUUGGGUGGCGGCAGAUGGAGGUUCUGCCNNNNNNNNNNGCGGGGGGCGGCGCAACUGGCGCGGACGGCGGCGCGACACUGCAGGGCGGCGGCGCGGGGCGGAGCAAGAUUGGGCGGCGGCGGCCGAACGACGAGGCGGGGAAAGCCGACGGCGAGGCGCGGCAUGGAGUCGGGCGGUGGAGAGCGGGCCCGGCGGGCCCCGGUUCUGCCCCAGGCGGGCCGGAUCUGGGCCCCGGGUGGCCGACGCAGUGGGAGGCGGCUGGAGAGGCGCGGGGCGCCACCUGGCGGCAGAUGAGUGGGUGCGGGAAGUGGCGUGACCCCAUUGGUCGGGGCGACGUGUCCGGCGGACAUGUUCGGCGUGGAUGGACAUGUCAUGCGGCGUGAGGAGGAAGAAGACUAGGGUUGGACGCGAAUUUGGACGAAGAAUGCCUUUUUAUAGGUAGGAGGAGGUAGGAGUGUCCAAAUGUAGUGCGGUUUUCGACACGCGAUCGUGAUCGAACGACCGAGAGUAUGGAGGGGGUUUGGAUGGGCUAUGGUCCACUUUGGAGGGGUGUUGGGCUGCAACACAAACGAGGCCUUUACGGUUCCUCGAUUAACCGUUGGAGUAUCUCCAAAUGGCACAAAACUUGACAGGCGGUCUACCGGUGGUGCACCAAGGCCGCUUGGCAAAUCUCGGUCCAUUCCGAGAAAGUUUAACACCCGCUCACGAAAAGAAACAAAAGGGGGCGCCGGAGGACAUAGGAGUGUCGGAUUGCAAAAUGGACAAUGGGAAAAAAGCUCGGAUGCAUGAGACGAACACGUAUGCAAAUGCGAUGCACAUGAUGACAUGAUAUGAUAUGCAUGACAAUAACAAAAUGCAAAACGAAGACAAAACACAACCACGAAGGGAAUCUCCUAUCGCAACUCCGGAAAAAGCAAGAGUCGGAGUACAAAUAUGGAAAGUUGUAUCGGGGGCGUUACAAGAUUCUUUCAGUGCAAGAUAAUAAAUGUACCGACGAACAAGAUUAUUUAUACACAUCCUUUAACUAGUUCUGUCGAUAAUGUUGUUGAUAGUUUAAAAAUCAUGUAUUUACUUAUAUGACUAUCCUUAUUAUGACUCCGUAUUUGUGUUGGUUUUAAUAGCUGCAGACCUGUUAUUUCUUUUUCUUUUCUUUUCAUGACAUCAUGUAGUAUGUAUGUACUAAGGUUCAGAAAAUAGCUCUUCAUGCACUCAGACAUGCCACUGAUUACAUCAGUAUGAUGAGUAGGCGAGAGGUUCAGAAGCAGGAGAAUCAAAGUGGAUGAAAGUAGAGGGAGGAACUGUUAUGUAUUACCUCCGUUCCAAGUUAGGUGUGUUAGAUUUGGGUAGAGGGAGUAGUUGGGCAUUGCCGGGCCGUGUGGUAGUUUAUUUUGUCGGUGAGUGUGCAUGAUACAUUGUUAAUGUCAUGUCUCAUUGUUCCAUCUAAGGUAGUGCUGUCGAUGGAUGCCAGCAUCUCUUUGUUGUACGCACUUGAAAUCCAUUUGCACAUGGAGGAAGGGGGAAAAUUAAAUCAGUAGCUUUUGGAGGAUGAAUUAGCAUGCACUCUCUACAUUGUUAUUUGCAGCAGUGCUUUCUAGUACUUGCAUGUCAUCCAAAAAUAGCUGCUCCCUAAAUAUCACUAAAUCUGAUCUUUUUAGAGAGAGAUUGCAGUAUGAAUAACACUAAAUAUCACUAAUUACCAUUGAAUUCGUAUUCAAAAGAAGUUUUUAAUUAUAUAAUCUUUGUGACACGAACCGGGACUAAAUGUGCCAGUGGGCCCCCAGCCUGACACAAGCCAGCCACAAUAGUUGGAACCAUCUGAAAAUUUAUUUUGGAAAAAUCAAUGCAAGUUUUAUUAGAUUUGGAUAUAUUUCAAUUUCAAUAAUAGUACACAUAGCUUUGUGGCUCAAAUUUUAGCGUGAACACCAGUCAUGCCUAAUGAUGUGAUCCUUAAAUCCAUUUUAUUUGACCCAGGUUAAAGUCAUAUCUACGCGUUUUUAUAUAAUUUCCAACAACAGGCAUAAAGUUGAAGCAAAAGCAAAAUAAUGUCGAGCUGGGUUUUCAUCAUCUACAUGAAGUAUGAGAGAACUGCUGCCUACCACUCCAUUACAUGAAUGAGCUUGUUAAAUAUGGGCUUCUCAGUAUUUUAUAAGAAUAGGUUUAAACCAAUAAAAAAUAAACGAACAAAAUAAUUUAGCUCAUCCUUGAAAUUUCCCAACUUCUUGUCCAUAUUUUCUCCAUGGUUGCAAAGAAACUCACAAGCCCAGCACAAUGCUCCCACCAUAGCUCACAUGGCCGGAUCGCCACCACCACUCUGCGCCGCUGCGAGGCACGGCCGCCGGAGG
rnacentral:lncRNA from 1 species